GGCGGGGGAGCGGCGCGGCCUCGCCCACCGCCCUGCCCCCAGCCCCGCCACUCCCGGGCUGCUCCGGCCGCGGUGCGUCCUCCCGCGGCUGUCUCGGAGGGCCCCGCGCCGUGCAGACGCCAUGGAGGUGCUGCUGAUCUUUCUGUGCAGCCUGCUGGCCCCCAUGGUCCUGGCCAGUGCAGCUGAUAAGGAGAAAGAAAAGGACCCCUUCCAUUAUGACUACCAGACCUUGAGGAUCGGGGGACUGGUGUUUGCUGUGGUCCUGUUCUCCGUGGGGAUCCUCCUUAUCCUCAGUCGCAGGUGCAAGUGCGGUUUCACUCCGAAGCCCCGGGCUCCAGGGGACGAGGAGGCCCAGGUGGAGAACCUCAUCACUGCCAAUGCAGCGGAGCCCCAGAAAGCAGAGAACUGAAGUGCAGCCCUCAGGAAGGAAGGUGAGGUGCCAUCUGCCUGCGUCUUCCUCCACCCACAUCACUUUCUUCCUCUGGCCUCCAGAACCUGAAGGCAGCUGCUUGAACAAUUAGAUGCAAAUGUUGAUGCUUAAGAAACCCGGCCACUUCAGAGCUCUCCCCAGGAGGAGCCGAGAACACACGCGGCCCCCUGCCCCUCCCCACCCCCUCCAACACCUGCCCUCAACUUCAUGAUGCAACUAACGCCCGCCUCCCCUGCUGCAGCCUGCAGUAUUGUCCCCCCUGUGACGUGCUGUGUGUGCGUUUGAUGACUGGUCUUCGUGGCUGUGGAUGAUGUGUUUUGUGAACUUGGCCUUGCUUUCCUGGGCAGGAGCUGAGCCAUGUCCCCACCAGCUCCUCCCUGUCCCCAUGGCCCCCAUCACCUCCUGCUCCUGGGAGUCUGCUUUCUUCCUGAGAGACCUGUCCCUUCUCUUAAUUUCGGGGCAUGGGUGGGAGUCUCAGUUGUCUUUGGACUUGGGAAGGUUUACGUCACCUUCCCAGUCAUUCUUCGCAGCCCCUCUUUGCUCCUUUUACAAGAACCUUGCUUCCACAUUCUUCCCCAAAUCUGUUCCGAGGGUCUCCUAGCAAUUCACAGCAAUUCAAACCAAGGAGCCCGGCUUUGCCUUCAGCAGACUACACCCCUUCCAUCACCAGUUUCUUCUUGGGGGCUUCCCCGCCCCAACUGCCCAGCCCCACCGCAGAGUGGCCAGGGACUCCAGGCCCAGGGCUUCUAUGCUGCCCCUGGGGCAUGUGCCCCUUGUAUAUCUUCUCAGCAAUAACCCCAUGGGCUCUGGAGCCCUACUCCUGUCUCCUCCCUGCCCGGCUUCCCAGCCCUCCCCCUACCGCCCGCUGUCUGCACUCAGGCUCCAAGCCCUGCACUGGGUCUCUGGCAGGUGCUGGGGAGGCGAUCCACCCUGUCUGGGGCUGGGGGCAGCCGGGAGGCAGGGCUCCCUUGCUGCUCUGUCCAUCCCGUUGCUCAGACAGCUGCGACAGCUCCCACACCCUGUGCUCUGCCCGUUGUGGCGGCGAGUCCGGGGCCUGUGCUGCAGGUUGGAGCCCAGCCGGGGCUCCGCACAGCCCUGCUGCGGAAGGAACAGCAAGAGGCUGAAGGUCAUGGGGGUGGAAGAUUAAACCAGACCCCUCCCCUCCCACCCAUCGUGUUCUCGUGGAAGCUAAACCGUGCCGCUGUGACCGGGACCACCGUCCUCGUGUUGUGAUCCUUCCUCUCAACAGCAAAAAGGAAUAAAAUACCAUUUGUUUCCUA